UACGUAGGGGGCAAGCGUUGUCCGGAAUCAUUGGGCGUAAAGAGCGUGUAGGCGGUUCGGUAAGUCGGCUGUGAAAGUCCAGGGCUCAACCCUGGGAUGCCGGUCGAUACUGCCGGACUAGAGUUCGGAAGAGGCGAGUGGAAUUCCCGGUGUAGCGGUGAAAUGCGCAGAUAUCGGGAGGAACAUCUAUGGCGAAGGCAGCUCGCUGGGACGUUACUGACGCUGAGACGCGAAAGCGUGGGGAGCAAACAGG
rnacentral:rRNA from 1 species